AGUACGGCGGUACAAGGGGAAAGAGCCCAGGCUGGACGCGGAUUAACUUUUAGCUCCAGCUGAUGAAAGCUCAGAGGAACUAGACAGGAGGGAGGGCAAGGAGGAAGCAUAGGCGCGCCCCAACACCCCGAGGUUUCAGCCCGGGGAAAAGUCACUUCUCUUCCCCCUUGCGGAACGCUUGUUCCAGGAACCACGGAGACUGUCACAACCGAAACCGCGGGAGCGCGUCCGGGCGACACCGGGCCGACGCGGGAACCCAUCCCCUUGAGGGCCUCCUCCCAACCCGAAGGCUCCUUUCCGUCUCCCGUCCUCACCUGCCAGGCCAAUCUCCCCCCGGCACCGUCCGCCGCCCUUCCCAACCCCUAGUGGAACGCAGGUCGGAGAGCGAGCAGAGCUAGCGCGCGCUCAGCGGCGGAGAGCAGCCGGCAGGAGCCCCUGUGUGGUGGCCGCCAUCUUGGGCCUGAGCAGAGCGGCUGAGGCGGGGACGACCCGGGCGACACCAUCUGUAGGGGUGGUGACGAACCGGGUCAGGGAAGAGGACAGCGCAAAAGCUCGCAAACCUUGUCAGCCUGGAUCCACGUCUUAUUCAAAACGUGUCGCGAUCAUUCACAGCUUAAGAUGUACGGGAUUCGCGCGUGAGAAGGGAGAGAGAAGCGCCGGUUUGCCGACGCCACCCCCUCUCAUCAGGGCUGGCGCGGCGAGUGGCAGCUCCUUAGGUCACGGCUUCCGCCGGCGCCAGUGGCCUAGCUCCCUGCGGCUGUCCUUGGUCGCCUUGUCACCAGGCUGAAGCAGUCAAGAUGACCUUAUUUCAGCUUCUACGUGAGCACUGGGUUCAUAUACUUGUCCCUGCGGGAUUUGUCUUUGGAUGUUAUCUAGACAGAAAGGAUGAUGAAAAGCUAACUGCCUUCAGGAAUAAGAGCAUGCUAUUUCAAAGGGAACUGAGGCCCAAUGAAGAAGUUACUUGGAAGUAAAAAAUGGUUAAAUCACAGAAUGUUCACAUUAUAAAAGUUAUUGGAGAAAUAAAAACAUUUACUAUUUAA
rnacentral:lncRNA from 1 species